rnacentral:misc_RNA from 1 species
GUAGGUGAACCUGCGGAAGGAUCAUUAUCGUACAACCGAGGUGCGAGGGCUGUCGCUGACUUUUUUUGUCGUGCACGCCCGAGUGCUCUCACACAAUCCAUCUCACCCCUAUGUGCACAACCGCGUGGGGUCCCUCUUUGGCUCGCUCCGAGGGGGGGCUCGCGUUUUCACACAAACUCGAAGCAGUGUAGAAUGUCUUUUUUUAUUUUGCGAUGACACGCAAUCAAUACAACUUUCAACAACGGAUCUCUUGGCUCUC